CAUAAAUUUUGUUUUAUCCAAGUUUAAAUGAUGGUGUGUUGUUUCUUUUUCUCUGAUAAUAUCUAGCUUAUUUUGGCUCAAUAUAUAUUUUUUUUUUUGGGGGGGGGGUGUUAGAUACGGUUUAAAAUGUCUUUUGUUUACAUUGCUAUUUAUAGUAGUUUGCGUAACAUAAACAUGUGCCAUGGGUUAGGUUAAAGUGCGGAAGCGGAACGGAUGCGGAACGGAUGGGAUUAAAAUACGGAACGGAUGGGGUUAAAAUGUGGGACGGAUAUAUGGUUAAAAUGCAGAACGGAACGGAUAUUGGUUUUAAGUUUUAACCUCAUAUUCGUUCCGUUCCGCCUUUAACCCCUUUCGUUCCGCUUCCUCAUUUUAACUGGCCUAACCCCAUGUGCCAUGUAAUUUAAAAAGAAAAACGGGUGUAAAUGUGGAGUAAUAAUUGCUGCACCUUGCAGCAAAAACUGAUUUCUAUGCAUGUUAAGUAUUUUCAAUUAACAUGCGUAGAAAUCAGAUUUUGUUGCAAGUUGCAGCAAUUUUGUUGCUCGUAUUACUCGAGCUUUAAAGCUUGUUUUUCACUAGGCGGAAUUUUCCACGUGGAGCGGAAUUUCUCUUUGUCCUUUCACAACUACAUUGUUUUCAACUAAGCCACCUUAAAUCACGCAGAACAUUUUUAGCGAACGUUAAUGGAAAACGGCCUUAAGAGUGCAGUUAGUUAGUUAAAAAAAUUCAGAUCAAUCAUAGGGUACCCCUGCAGAAAUUUCAAACUCAAAGUCCUUUACCCCUGAAGAAUUCCAAGCUCAAAACACCCUACCCCUGAAGAAUUCCAAGCUCAAAACACCCUACCCCUGAAGAAUUCCAAGCUCAAAACACUGUACCCCUGAAGAAUUCCAAGCUCAAAACACUGUACCCCUGAAGAAUUCCAAGCUCAAAGCACUGUACCCCUGAAGAAUUCCAAACUCGAAACACUGUACCCCUGAAGAAUUCCAAACUCAAAACACUGUACCCCUGAAGAAUUCCAAGCUCAAAACACUGUACCCCUGAAGAAUUCCAAGCUCAAAACACUGUACCCCUGAAGAAUUCCAAGCUCGAAACACCCUACCCCUGAAGAAUUCCAAACUCAAAAUCAUUUACCCCUUAAGAAUUCCAAACUCAAAACACUGUACCCCUGAAGAAUUCCAAGCUCAAAACACUGUACCCAUGAAGAAUUCCAAGCUCAAAACACUGUACCCCUGAAGAAUUCCAAGCUCAAAACACUGUACCCCUGAAGAAUUCCAAGCUCAAAACACUUUACCCCUGAAGAAUUCCAAACUCUGAAAAAUUUCGAUCUCAAACCUCUUUACCCCUGAAGAAUUCCAAGCUCAAAACACUCUACCCCUGAAGAAUUCCAAACUCAAAACACCCUACCCCUGAAGAAUUCCAAGCUCAAAACACUGUACCCCUGAAGAAUUCCAAGCUCAAAACACUGUACCCCUGAAGAAUUCCAAGCUCAAAGCACUGUACCCCUGAAGAAUUCCAAACUCGAAACACUGUACCCCUGAAGAAUUCCAAACUCAAAACACUGUACCCCUGAAGAAUUCCAAGCUAAAAACACUGUACCCCUGAAGAAUUCCAAACUCAAAAUCCUUUACCCCUGAAGAAUUCCAAGCUCAAAACAAUCUACCCCUGAAGAAUUCCAAGCUCAAAACACCCUACCCCUGAAGAAUUCCAGGUAUCCUCGACAGGGGGGGUACGGAUAUUAAAUGGAAUAGCCCAUUGUUUAUUUAGAGCACUGUCGUAUAUUUUAACCGGUAGACAAACAUACCACAUGAUUUUAGGACAAAAAAUAGUGGAUCACAUGAACAGUAUAGAACAUGUCCUUAGACCAUAUAUGAAUAGUUCAGUAGAUCAUUAUUUAGCCACAAGCAACAUGAGGAACAGUGGUGUGUGGGGGACUGAUAUUGAAAUUUUUGCAGCCAUUCCCUUUUCAAUGUAGAUAUUUAUGUUUAUUCACAGUUUGGUAACAAUUAUAGAUGGUCUAAAAAGAAAAAGAAUAUUGGACACUGAGGCAGCAUUACCACCUGGAUUUACUUAAACACUGUACUGCCAUUGGACAGCUACCUGUACCGUUGUACCAAUAAGGGUGCUGUUUUAUAGUUGUUCUGUUUAAAUUUUUCUGUUCAACACUGUACACUGUACAUCAUACAGCUACGGUCAUUGAUGCAGCAUGUACUGUAUUGGUUACAGCUUUAUACUUAUAGCUAUCAUGUUUAAAUUGUCCUGUUCAACACUGUAGAUCGGACAGCUAUGGUCAUAUGAUAUAUUACAUUGGGGACAGCUUUAUACUUAUUAUAGUUAUCAUGUUUAAAUUGUCAGUCUGUUUAACACUGUACAUAUCGGAAAGCCACAGUCAUUGGAUGUACUGAUACUGACUGUAUUAGGUACAGCUUUAUACUUAUAAUUAUUCUGUUGAACACUAUACACACCUGACAGCUACGGGUAUUGUACUUUUAUAUAGAUUUGCUUUGAUGGUGUGUAGUUUUAUAAUAAUCUAUCAGAUUGUUUUUUCAAGACUGUUGAUAUUGGUUAGGGACAGGUCAUUAUUUAUGGAAGGGGGGGAGGGGAAUUUUUUCUUUUCUAAAUUUUUAAAAUUGAAAGCCCCCCCCCUCCCCUAAAUGGCAGAAAUUUAAUGAUGGCCCCCCCUGCAUAUUAGAAUAUUUUUCUUUGACCCCCCCCCCAUUUUCAUUUUUACUCGUCAAAUGGGGAUACCCAGGCGUUAUAGUAUUAAUUAUUAAAUAAGAAUAUGGAACUGGC
rnacentral:lncRNA from 1 species